GGGGAUAUCGCUCAAUGGAUAGAGCCUCUGUUUACGAAGCAGAUGCAUGCAGGUUGCUUCGCAAUACGCACAGCGUGCUCCAAUUCCUGCUAUCCCCG
rnacentral:tRNA from 1 species